GACGAACCGUGCGAACGUUAUUCGGAAUCACUGGGCUUAAAGCGCGUGUAGGCGGGUCGGAACGUCGGUCGCUGAAAUCCCCCGGCUCAACCGGGGAAGGGGCGCCGAUACGGCCGGCCUCGAGGGACGUAGGGGGGGGCUGGAACUUCCGGUGGAGCGGUGAAAUGCGUAGAGAUCCGGAGGAACACCAGUGGCGAAGGCGGCCUUCUGGGUCGACCCCUGACGCUGAGAGGGCGAAAAGCGUGGGGAGCAAACAGG
rnacentral:rRNA from 1 species